AGCGAACGUUUGCGGCGGGCCUAACACAUGCAAGUCGAACGCACUAGCAAUAGUGAGUGGCGCACGGGUGCGUAACACGUGGGUAAUCAACCUUUCAGCUUGGGAUAACGACUUGAAAGGGUCGCUAAUACCGGAUACGGCGCGGGAGGCUUCGGCUUCUCACGAGAAAGCCUCGCAAGGGGCACUGAAGGACGAGCCUGCGGCCCAUCAGCUAGUUGGUGAGGUAAGAGCUCACCAAGGCGAAGACGGGUAGCUGGUCUGAGAGGAUGAUCAGCCACACUGGAACUGAGACACGGUCCAGACUCCUACGGGAGGCAGCAGUGGGGAAUAUUGCGCAAUGGGCGAAAGCCUGACGCAGCCACGCCGCGUGAGCGAUGAAGGCCUUCGGGUCGUAAAGCUCUGUGGGGAGGAGACGAAGAAAGCCCGUGAAGAGCGGGCCGUUGACGGUAGUCUCCUUAGCAAGCACCGGCUAACUCCGUGCCAGCAGCCGCGGUAA
rnacentral:rRNA from 1 species